rnacentral:lncRNA from 1 species
GUUAAGAUAUAUUUGUUGGUUUUGACGACUGAGCAGCUCUUAAAUUGCUACUGCCAUUUGUAGUUGGCAGUUGGCAGCACUUUCCAUUUCUGCGGCAGGUUGGUUUUGGCGUCAACUUCACCCUCUCUUCAUUUUAUUUCUUUCUAAAUGGCGCACGCAUAUACUAGAUAAAUAAAUUCUGUCGAAAUCCUUGAUAGAAAUGGGUGAAAUGCAAUUGGUAGACUCAAAAACCUGUGCGGGCACUGGUUCAACAAUGAAUCGGUGGUUAAUUCCUUCUGGGUGGGUUACACUGGUUCAUUCGGAUUAGAUCCAUCUAUCUAAAGAAAAAUUAAAAAAAAAUCAAUCCGACCAGUUGAACCAGUAACUCAAAUCUUUUCACUUGCUGGUUCCAGUUUCUGAAAAUGCUAAGUGGACUCUAAAAUUCGUUUAACCGUUACAAAAACAACUAGAUUAGAUAAUUCAGUUUUUUUUAGUUAGUUGCAAUUUCUUUAUCAUUUAUAACCCAUUAACAUAAAUUUACAUGUUUAUUAUCAGCUUUACGCUUGCUCGCCUCAAUAUUUUAAGUCAUUUUCACUUCUUCUUUUUCUCUAUUUGCUUU